GCGACGGUGGUGGAAUGGUAGACACGCUAUCUUGAGGGGGUAGUGGGCUUUGCCCGUGCGAGUUCAAGUCUCGCUCGUCGCACCA
rnacentral:tRNA from 1 species